rnacentral:rRNA from 1 species
UGGGCAACCUGCCCCUCUCUCUGGGAUAACCCCGGGAAACCGGAAGCUAAUACCGGAUACUCCGGCUGGAUCGCAUGGUCCGGCCGGGAAAGGUCCGCCGGAGAGGGAUGGGCCCGCGGCCUAUCAGCUUGUUGG